rnacentral:rRNA from 1 species
GACGGAGGGUGCAAGCGUUGUUCGGAUUGACUGGGCGUAAAGGGUGUGUAGGCGGUUGGUCAAGUCUGAUGUGAAAGCCCGGGGCUCAGCCCCGGAAGGGCAUCGGAAACUAGCCAGCUGGAGCGCGAUAGAGGAGGGUGGAAUUCCUGGUGUAGCGGUGAAAUGCGUAGAUAUCAGGAGGAACACCGGCGGCGAAGGCGGCCCUCUGGAUCGUUGCUGACGCUGAGACGCGAAAGCGUGGGGAGCAAACAGG